rnacentral:tRNA from 1 species
GGUCGCUUAGCUCAGUUGGUUUAGAGCGUGGUGCUAAUAACGGCUAACCUAAAUAGGUCGCGAGUUCGACCCUCGUAGUGACCA